AAAAACAAAAAAAGAAGCUUGACUUGAAAAAAGUAGGAAGAGUAGUUGUACUUUGAUUGAUUGUGGGGUUAGGCCUAAAGAAGAUCAGGAAGAACUGCUAGUCACUACAGUUAGUAGUGGGCCUAAUAGUUCAGAGCAAGCCUGUGAUGAAAAAGGCUGUGAUGAUUCUGUUAAAAUGUGUGAUUUAAGUACAAAACCAGUCUAAACUAGUGCUCUUGCAUGGGAAGAAAAGCUACAAAAGAGACUGAAAAAACAAGUACUGCUGAAAGUAAUAUUGCAUUCCAAGAGAACAAAGGAUAUAGAUUUGCUAUUGGACUGUUAUCAAAUAGUGCGCUAUCUGCAACUCUGACCAAAACUGUUGUUUGAAAAGGGCCACCUGGGCAUCCAAACACAUUUCCUGAUGAUUGGAAAAAGAAAGUUUCCAAAUUCUAUACUAAAAUCAACCAAAAAAACCCCAGAGAGGUUUCUGAUAGGGAUUGGCUUGUGUGGACUGAAAGUGCAGAAUCGCUCUUUUGUUUCCCUUGUAGAUUAUUCAGUUCAGAUGCUGUUUCUUGCAAGUCGAUAUGGCAAGUGACAAUGGCUGGAAAAAGGAAUUGUUAUGGAGCAAAUUGUAGAUGUAAAUUGCCUGCAUCACAGGCAAUGUUAUCUGAAAUGGUGAGAGUUAGAGAGAAGAUUUGCCCGAGGAACUGAUAUAAAUUCAUGGGUAGA